rnacentral:rRNA from 1 species
ACGGAGGGUGCAAGCGUUAUCCGGAUUCACUGGGUUUAAAGGGUGCGUAGGAGGGCAGGUAAGUCAGUGGUGAAAUCUCCGAGCUUAACUUGGAAACUGCCGUUGAUACUAUCUGCCUUGAAUAUUGUGGAGGUGAGCGGAAUAUGUCAUGUAGCGGUGAAAUGCUUGGAUAUGACAUAGAACACCAAUUGCGAAGGCAGCUGGCUACACGAAUAUUGACACUGAGGCACGAAAGCGUGGGGAUCAAACAGGA